rnacentral:rRNA from 1 species
UACGGUAGGGGGCUAGCGUUGUCCGGAAUCAUUGGGCGUAAAGCGCGUGUAGGCGGUCCGGUAAGUCCGCUGUGAAAGUCGGGGGCUCAACCCUCGGAUGCCGGUGGAUACUGUCGGGCUUGAGUACGGAAGAGGCGAGUGGAAUUCCUGGUGUAGCGGUGAAAUGCGCAGAGUAUCAGGAGGAACACCAAUUGCGAAGGCAGCUCGCUGGGACGU